rnacentral:rRNA from 1 species
UACGAAGGGGACUAGCGUUGUUCGGAUUUACUGGGCGUAAAGCGCGCGUAGGCGGAUCGCUAAGUCAGGGGUGAAAUGCCAAGGCUCAACCUCGGAACUGCCUUUGAUACUGCGGGUCUUGAGUCCGAUAGAGGUGGGUGGAAUUCCUAGUGUAGAGGUGAAAUUCGUAGAUAUUAGGAAGAACACCGGUGGCGAAGGCGGCCCACUGGAUCGGUACUGACGCUGAGGUGCGAAAGCGUGGGGAGCAAACAGG